UACAGAGGGUGCAAGCGUUGUUCGGAAUUAUUGGGCGUAAAGGGCGCGUAGGCGGUGCCACAAGUCACCUGUGAAAUCUCCGGGCUUAACUCGGAGCCUGCAGGCGAAACUGUGGUGCUGGAGUGUGGGAGAGGUGCGUGGAAUUCCCGGUGUAGCGGUGAAAUGCGUAGAUAUCGGGAGGAACGACCUGUGGCGAAAGCGGCGCACUGGACCAUACUGACGCUGGAUGCGCGAAAGCUAGGGGAGCAAACAGG
rnacentral:rRNA from 1 species